GUCUUUGUGGUGCAGUGGUCAGCACACUCGGCGCGUACUCGAGAGGUCUUCGGUUCGAUUCCCGGCGAGGGCA
rnacentral:tRNA from 1 species